rnacentral:rRNA from 1 species
GACGUAGGGCGCAAGCGUUGUCCGGAGUUAUUGGGCGUAAAGAGCUCGUAGGCGGCUUGUCGCGUCGACUGUGAAAACCCGUGGCUCAACCAUGUGGUCUGCAGUCGAUACGGGCAGGCUAGAAUUCGGUAGGGGAGACUGGAAUUCCUGGUGUAGCGGUGAAAUGCGCAGAUAUCAGGAGGAACACCGGUGGCGAAGGCGGGUCUCUGGGCCGAUAUUGACGCUGAGGAGCGAAAGCGUGGGGAGCGAACAGG